rfam:Triticum urartu cultivar G1812 contig1102482, whole genome shotgun sequence.
GAUCUAUUUCCUCCGUUCCAAAUUACUCGUCGCAGAAAUGGAUGUAUCUAGAAUUAAAAUACAUCUAGAUAUAUCCAUACCUGCGACAAGUAAUUCGAAACAGAGGGAGUACAAU